AUUUAGAUACCCUGGUAGUCCACGCUGUAAACGAUGUCGAUUUGGAGGUUGUGCCCUUGAGGCGUGGCUUCCGGAGCUAACGCGUUAAAUCGACCGCCUGGGGAGUACGGCCGCAAGGUUAAAACUCAAAUGAAUUGACGGGGGCCCGCACAAGCGGUGGAGCAUGUGGUUUAAUUCGAUGCAACGCGAAGAACCUUACCUACUCUUGACAUCCAGAGAAUUUAGCAGAGAUGCUUUAGUGCCUUCGGGAACUCUGAGACAGGUGCUGCAUGGCUGUCGUCAGCUCGUGUUGUGAAAUGUUGGGUUAAGUCCCGCAACGAGCGCAACCCUUAUCCUUUGUUGCCAGCGAUUCGGUCGGGAACUCAAAGGAGACUGCCGGUGAUAAACCGGAGGAAGGUGGGGAUGACGUCAAGUCAUCAUGGCCCUUACGAGUAGGGCUACACACGUGCUACAAUGGCGUAUACAAAGAGAAGCGACCUCGCGAGAGCAAGCGGAACUCAUAAAGUACGUCGUAGUCCGGAUUGGAGUCUGCAACUCGACUCCAUGAAGUCGGAAUCGCUAGUAAUCGUAGAUCAGAAUGCUACGGUGAAUACGUUCCCGGGCCUUGUACACACCGCCCGUCACACCAUGGGAGUGGGUUGCAAAAGAAGUAGGUAGCUUAACCUUCGGGAGGGCGCUUACCACUUUGUGAUUCAUGACUGGGGUGAAGUCGUA
rnacentral:rRNA from 1 species